rnacentral:rRNA from 1 species
AUGCUGCGCGAGGCCAGGCGCGCCGUGGUGCGGCUGCGCGCGCUGCAGCAGCGGAAGGAGGCCGCACACGUCGUCAAGCUCGGGAGGCGGUUCAAGGUGCUCGACGGCCUCAUCCAAAGGGCGUCGCAGGUCGUGUACCCUUCUGGCGAAGGUAGCAGCGGCAGUGGUGUGGAGAUGGAGGAGGUCGUGGAGGAGAUGAACGCUAGGCGUAACGACGUCACGGCGGUGGCUGCCGCAGUCGGGGAGAUAGAGCGCGCAAACAGGGGUGUCGGCUUCGGCUUGAACACCAAGGUCGUCUCGUCUCUGCUUCGCAAUGGUUCUACAGUGACAAUCCUCGCGUUCGUCAGCAGAUGA